rnacentral:miRNA from 1 species
UUUGUGUUUUUUUUUUUUUU